UGCUUUCUGAAUGUGGUAAGCUUCAAUGAUCAAGCGGGUUACACUAUCUUUAUUUCUGGAAGUCCGUU
rnacentral:lncRNA from 1 species